UACGAAGGGGGGCUAGCGUUGCUCGGAAUCACUGGGCGUAAAGCGCACGUAGGCGGCUUUUUAAGUCAGAGGUGAAAUCCUGGAGCUCAACUCCAGAACUGCCUUUGAUACUGAGAAGCUUGAGUCCGGGAGAGGUGAGUGGAACUGCGAGUGUAGAGGUGAAAUUCGUAGAUAUUCGCAAGAACACCAGUGGCGAAGGCGGCUCACUGGCCCGGUACUGACGCUGAGGUGCGAAAGCGUGGGGAGCAAACAGG
rnacentral:rRNA from 1 species